AAGCACUUCCUGUUCCUGUGUGACUGUUACACUUUACUCAUGAGGAAGUUUCCACGUUACGUCACUUUGAUUUCUCCAUCAACGUUCAAACACCCAAAGUUUCAAAAAAAGACUUUAUUCAUAGAAUUCGUCAUCAUGUUGAAAUAAACACUCAUUAAAGUUUAGACAUCCUGAUCUGUUCACAGUCUCAGAGACAGGUCCGGGACUCGCCUCACAGUCUCAGAGACAGGUCCGGGACUCGCCUCCCAGUCUCAGAGACAGGUCCGGGACUCGCCUCCCAGUCUCAGAGACAGUCUGAAUACAAGUCUUAAAAGCAUCUUGAGGUGGUCUCAGACAGCAGAGAUGAAUUGUAACGUGUCCGUGAGAUGAGCUGGAGAUCGAUGACAGAGCGACAUCCUCUGGAAA